rnacentral:lncRNA from 1 species
GUGGUUGACACUUUAGCUGCAUAAACACUUGUUCUCUUGUCCGAUCCAUCAGUAAGAGAAUCAACUGCCUUCCUCUUUUUGCUAGAAGUGAAUGGUUUUCCAUCUUGGUCAUCUUCACAAUGUAGAGAAUUCUCACAUUCCACAUGAACCAUCAGCUCUGACAUGCUUCGCUCUUUCUUUUUCGUCUGACUUACAUUCCACAUCAACCAUCAGCUCUGACAUGCUUCGCUCUUUUUUUUUCGUCUGGGAAAUACCUUUUGAACCAUGCUUACGUUUGUGAGCAGAGACUUUACCGGUGGGAUGUUGC